GCAAGUCUACUUGAAGCACUUUCGGGUGUGGAUGGUGGCGGACGGGUGAGUAACGCGUAAAUAACUUGCCCCCUAGUCUGGGACAACUGUUGGAAACGACAGCUAAUACUAGAUAUUAUGAGACCUUGGCAUCAAGGACUUAUGAAAGCUAUAUGCGCUAGGGGAGAGAUUUGCGUCCUAUUAGCUAGUUGGUGAGGUAAUGGCUCACCAAGGCGACGAUAGGUAGCCGGCCUGAGAGGGUGAACGGCCACAAGGGGACUGAGACACGGCCCUUACUCCUACGGGAGGCAGCAGUGGGGAAUAUUGGACAAUGGACCAAAAGUCUGAUCCAGCAAUUCUGUGUGCUUGAUGAAGGCCUUCGGGUUGUAAAGAGCUUUAAGUAGGGAAGAAGAAAGUGACGGUACCUACAGAAUAAGCGACGGCUAAAUACGUGCCAGCAGCCGCGGUAAUACGUAUGUCGCAAGCGUUAUCCGGAAUUAUUGGGCAUAAAGGGCGUCUAGGCGGUUUAGAAAGUCUGAUGUGAAAAUGCGGGGCUCAACCCCGUAUUGCGUUGGAAACUACUAGACUAGAGUAUUGGAGAGGUAAGCGGAACUACAAGUGUAGAGGUGAAAUUCGUAGAUAUUUGUAGGAAUGCCAAUUGGGAAGCCAGCUUACUGGACAAAUACUGACGCUGAAGCGCGAAGGCUAGGGGAGCAAACAGGAUUAGAUACCCUGGUAGUCCUAGCUGUAACGAUGAUCACUGGGUGU
rnacentral:rRNA from 1 species